rnacentral:lncRNA from 1 species
UUUUGCUCUUUCUUUUUUGCUCUUUCUUUUUUGCUCUUUCUUUUAAGCCCUUUCUUUUAAGCUCUUUCUUUUAAACUCUUUCUUUUCUGCUUUUUCCUUUAAGCUUUUAAGCUUUUAAGCUUUUAUGCUUUUUUUUUUUUUUUUUUUUUUUGAAAUAAAAUGAUAAAGCGACAUGAAUAGAAUAACGCUGUAUGAUUUUGUACUAGAUGAACUUCGAGGAGGUAGGUAUUAUGACUAUUAUCAAAGUGAUAGUGAAAACGAUGAAAAUAAAAAUAAAGAAAAGAAAAACUGUGAUGAUGCAGUUUAUAAUAAGUCAGGUGCGGUGGGUAUUACUAAUGAUAACAAUAAUAUUAAUCAAGAUAAAGAAGAAAAUGAUUAUGAUUUUUAUAAAUUUUUAGACACGUUUUUUAAAGCCGACUCGAUACCAGACAAUGCAUUAGAACAUAUGUAUCAAGUUCCAUAUUUUUUUGAAAAAAUCAUGAGUUUUUCAUUUCUUCUUUGUUUGGAUAAUAUACUAUAUGAUAUAACAUUUAUGCCUAUACAAAGUAUACGUUCUAUUUUUAUUUUAUUAUAUACAUUUUUGGUAAAUAUAAGUUUUAACUUUUUAAGUCAUUUGAAAAAUAUAAAGUAUAUUAAUUUUUAUAAAUAUGCUACUACUAGUAAUUUUCAAUACGGUAAAAAAUAUAAAUAUAGUGUUAUUCGAAAUUGGAAUAUGUUUGCACGUGUUGAAAGAUUAAGACAUAUGACAGUGAAGGAUCAAUUUUUUAAUAAAAAAAAAAAAAUGCAAACUAACAUAAAUUUUAAUAAUACAAUAUCUGAUUUUCGUAAUGUUUAUAAUUUUAGUAAUAUUGAUGAAUUUAGAAAAGAAGAGCCUAAAAAUUACUUUGGUUAUAAUCACAGAAAAGGUAUUAGCGUUUUCAGUUGUCACUUAUCAAAAUAUAAUUCCCCGACUAGAAAAGAUAAUGAUGAAAAUGAUUUUGUAAAAAAUGGAAUAGAUGACAAUAUUGUUUUGCGAAACGAAAGUAACAAAAAUAAUCGCGAGUAUAAUCGUAGCGUUAUAAGUACCUACAGUGACAAUUAUGAUAGCAGUCAUAGUAGAAACUAUGAUAGUAGUCAUAGUAGAAACUAUGACAGUAGUUGUAAUAGCAACUACGAAAACAAAGACGUCGGUAUUUAUAACGAUAGUUGCAACACAUACUACAGCAUAUUACCCAGUUAUAAAAAGAAACUAUUGGAUAGUAAUAAAAAUAAAUUUAAAUACAUAAAUACGUUAAAGACAGAAAAUGAUCAACAUGAUGACUAUAUCAAUUCAUUUUAUUUUAGAACAUUAAAAAGCCAAAACAAAUUGAUAAAAAAAAAAUCAACAAUACUGUUUGAGAAU